GAGAGAGAAAGGAAGAGAAAGAAGAGAAAGUCCCCUGCAGCGUCUCUAUAUAAUGGACAUGAUUCUGCCUCGCAAGGAUUCAGUUGGGAAGGAAAGCUGAGGAGAAAUGCGUACAUCCAUAGUCGUGCUGUUGGCGGCGCUAAUGGCAGUCCCCUCAGCCAGCCCAUUCAAGUUUAAAUGGAAGGGCCAUGGGUGGGGGUACCAUCACCCAGUAUACGUCCCAGUACACGUGCCCUAUAUACAGCAGCAAGUGAUCCACCAUGUCCACCACACCAAGGGUUACGGACACGACCACGGACACACUGCUAGCCACGUGAACUAUGCUGGUUAUGGUGGCUACGCGGGGUAUGGGGGUGGCUUAGGUGGUGCUCAUCAUGGUGGGUUUGGACAUGGUGGUAUUAGCUACGGUCAUGGAGGCCACAGAUAGAGAAGUGAAGGAAGGAAGGAACAAGACAGCUGGUGACUUCCUUGCUGUUCCUGCCUGUGCUCUCUGUGACUUCUGCUCCUCCUGUUGCUGUUACUACUUGCCCCUGCUGUCUAUAUGCUUGUAUGGAGUGCUUCGCGACUUCCUGCUAAUUGUGUAAAGGAGUUAUUUUAAGUUUGCUAUUCUUGUUAUACACGUACAAAUUUGGAUAGCAUGUAUACGUAAGUGUGUAGUGUGUUGUUUUAAUUUUUUUUGUGUUUGCUUUUGUUUUUGAUGUUGUUUUGUGUUGUAUAUAUGUGUAUGUUUUGAUAUGUUUCUUUUUUUUUCAUGUUAACUAAAUAUAAUGUUAUACGUACUA